rnacentral:tRNA from 1 species
GAUUCAGUAGCUCAGUUGGUAGAGCACAUCCCUUUUAAGGAUGGGGUCCUGAGUUCGAGCCUCAGCUGAAUCACCA